rnacentral:tRNA from 1 species
GGGGCCGUACCCAAGUCCGGUUCAAGGGAGCAGUCUUGAAAACUGAUAGGACGUGAAUAGCGUUGCGAGAGUUCGAAUCUCUCCGGCCCCGCCA